rnacentral:lncRNA from 1 species
UAUCUAUCUAUCUAAAGUUUAAGUAGUACCUGUGAGCAACUCAUCUGGGAAAACAGAUCGAUAUUAUGACAGCUAACCAUAUUUUUCUCUUUUAUACUCCCAUUUUUAUUCCUAAAAAUAUCAUUUGGUUAUUUUCAAGUCCUCUAUUUAGUUUAAAUUUACUAAAUGCAUUGACUAUUCAGUAUGAGCAGAAUAGUAAAUGACAAAAGCUAGGGCAUCAGGUAUAUUUGCAGAGGUCAAAAGCCUAUGAAAUACUCCACAUAUUGUGUAAUGUUUUCAUUUCCACAGCUCUGGGAACAGGACGAGCAGACAGGACCACCCACACUAAAUCCAAAAAGGGCAGCUGGUCAAGUAGAGGCAGCAUCAGCAAAGUAGUCCUAACUCGGUAUCCUAGCCAUAAAGAAGACAGACCUGAAUUGCACGAAAAGGUAUGAGAAGGCUGAAUGGUGUCAUUUUGCACCAGAUCCUUAAACAGGUCCAAUGAGUCAAUAAUUGGCAGAAUACAACCUGGGCUAGGCUGUGAGCCCCAGGAAGAUGAGGACCUUGUUUGUCUCAUACACAGAACCUGGCCCAGCGCCUGGCCCAUAGAAAGUUCUCCAAUAUUCAUUUAACUGAGCACAUUUCUGAACCACUCCUAGCAAUACUCUGAAGUCCUACUGAAGUACCUAUGAAGUCCUUUCUCAGUGAAAAGAAAUGCCGUAAAUGCUAGAGUGCCCGUGUUCCUGAAGACAAUUAUCCAAAUAUGCGGCCUAGAAGACCCUACAAUUUAAACAAGAUACAGAAAUGUCUGGCCUCGAAAUAAUUUCAUAUUUCAAGAAGCUCCUGCCAGCCAGUAAAAGGGAGCAUGCAAAUUCGAAAGGGGAAGCACUGCUCUGAAAUUAGUCCUCAAAAUGAUCUAUUUUGGUUCCUUUUCAGCUUGUUACUCUCUGAAAAGCUUAAAAAUGCUUGUUAGCUAUCAGAUGAAGGAUGAGAAACAAAAGGCAUGGAUUAGAGUGAUGUGUGAAGGGCCAUUUUUCUGCGAACCUAGAGAGGACUACAAAGUACUCACCAGAAGCCCUGCUGACAGAGGUCUUACCUCACAUUUGGGAAAGCCUAUUGCUCAGAAGAAAACCCCGUGUUUCUGCGCAUGCAAAGCCUUGAUGAGGUUUUGAGAAGAAAAGAGUGUGUCAGAGCGAAACCACACGGAGGCUGUCAAAGCUUUGAAUCUUCCUCUCAAAAAAGCAACAUUCUGAUGUGUUCUUACUUGUUGAGGGCAGCAGUUCAACAAACUUCCCCCU